rnacentral:rRNA from 1 species
CCUACGGGUGGCAGCAGUGGGGAAUAUUGCACAAUGGGGGAAACCCUGAUGCAGCGACGCCGCGUGAGUGAAGAAGUAUUUCGGUAUGUAAAGCUCUAUCAGCAGGGAAGAAAAUGACGGUACCUGACUAAGAAGCACCGGCUAACUACGUGCCAGCCGCCGCGGUAAUACGUAGGGGGCAAGCGUUAUCCGGAUGUACUGGGUGUAAAGGGAGCGUAGACGGGCAGGCAAAGCAGAAGUGAAAGCCCAGGGCUCAACCCUGGGACUGCUUUUGAACAUGGCGGGCUGGAGUGAAGGAGAGGUAAGCGGAAUUACUAGUGUAGCGGUGAAAUGCGUAGAUAUUAGGAGGAACACCAGUGGCGAAGGCGGCUUACUGGACUGUAACUGACGUUGAGGCUCGAAAGCGUGGGGAGCAAACAGGAUUAGAUACCCGGGUAGUC